rnacentral:rRNA from 1 species
UACGUAGGGGGCUAGCGUUGUUCGGAAUUACUGGGCGUAAAGCGCACGUAGGCGGAUUGUUAAGUCAGGGGUGAAAUCCCGGGGCUCAACCCCGGAACUGCCUUUGAUACUGGCAUUCUCGAGUCCGGAAGAGGUGAGUGGAAUUCCGAGUGUAGAGGUGAAAUUCGUAGAUAUUCGCAAGAACACCAGUGGCGAAGGCGGCUCACUGGUCCGGUACUGACGCUGAGACGCGAAAGCGUGGGGAGCAAACAGG